AACGAACGCUGGCGGCAGGCUUAACACAUGCAAGUCGAGCGCCCCGCAAGGGGAGCGGCCGACGGGUGAGUAACGCGUGGGAACGUACCUUUUGGUUCGGAACAACUCCGGGAAACUGGAGCUAAUACCGGAUAAGCCCUAACGGGGAAAGAUUUAUCGCCGAAAGAUCGGCCCGCGUCUGAUUAGCUAGUUGGUGAGGUAACGGCUCACCAAGGCGACGAUCAGUAGCUGGUCUGAGAGGAUGAUCAGCCACACUGGGACUGAGAUACGGCCCAGACUCCUACGGGAGGCAGCAGUGGGGAAUAUUGGACAAUGGGCGCAAGCCUGAUCCAGCCAUGCCGCGUGAGUGAUGAAGGCCUUAGGGUUGUAAAGCUCUUUUGUCCGGGAAGAUAAUGACUGUACCGGAAGAAUAAGCCCCGGCUAACUUCGUG
rnacentral:rRNA from 1 species